UACGGGGGGGGCAAGCGUUGUUCGGAAUUACUGGGCGUAAAGGGCUCGUAGGUGGCCAACUAAGUCAUACGUGAAAUCCCUCGGCUUAACCGGGGAACUGCGUCUGAUACUGGAUGGCUUGAGGUUGGGAGAGGGAUGCGGAAUUCCAGGUGUAGCGGUGAAAUGCGUAGAUAUCUGGAGGAAUACCGGUGGCGAAGGCGGCAUCCUGGACCAACACUGACACUGAGGAGCGAAAGCCAGGGGAGCAAACGGG
rnacentral:rRNA from 1 species